rnacentral:lncRNA from 1 species
GUAGGUUGCAUUAUUGCAUGGGAGUGAGGAUAGGUUUUUCCUUGAGAGAAUAUCACUUUAAGAAUUCAGUUCAUUGCCCUAGUUUCUAGUUUGAUGCAUGCAAACAAGAAAGAAAUCAAGAUUGAUCCAUACUCGGAACUUGUCAAGCUUUGAAUAGUUCCAGCCUUAUCUAAGUGAGAACCAUAAUUUGACAAUCUAAUUAGCAUGUUUGUGCAUGUCAUUGUGAACUCAUGAGUACCUUAAAAUAUUUGAGCUUUCUUAUUAUGCCUUUUUACUACUCUUUGCUAGCUCAAAUAGCUGCUCUGUCAUCUUGAGACA